AAGUCAUGAUGAAGACAUUUCUGAAGCAAAUCAUUCAAUCUUUCCCAAGCCUUGUAGAAUUUCUCACCAUGAUUUUGAGAAAAACCCAUUAUAGCUCUCCGAAUUU